GACGAACGCUGGCGGCGUGCUUAACACAUGCAAGUCGAACGGAAAGGCCCUGCUUUUGUGGGGUGCUCGAGUGGCGAACGGGUGAGUAACACGUGAGUAACCUGCCCUUGACUUUGGGAUAACUUCAGGAAACUGGGGCUAAUACCGGAUAGGAGCUCCUGCUGCAUGGUGGGGGUUGGAAAGUUUCGGCGGUUGGGGAUGGACUCGCGGCUUAUCAGCUUGUUGGUGGGGUAGUGGCUUACCAAGGCUUUGACGGGUAGCCGGCCUGAGAGGGUGACCGGCCACAUUGGGACUGAGAUACGGACCAGACUCCUACGGGAGGCAGCAGUGGGGAAUAUUGCACAAUGGGCGGAAGCCGGAUGCAGCAACGCCGCGUGCGGGAUGACGGCCUUCGGGUUGUAAACCGCUUUCGCCUGUGACGAAGCGUGAGUGACGGUAAUGGGUAAAGAAGCACCGGCUAACUACGUG
rnacentral:rRNA from 1 species